GGUGGCUCAGUGGUAGAGCUCUUACUUUGCAUGCAUGUGGGCCUGGGUUCGAUUCCUCAGCACCA
rnacentral:tRNA from 1 species